GGCUGGUCUGAGUGCAGUGGUGUUUAUGACUAAUUGAUCACAACCAGUUACAGAUUUCUUUGUUCCUUCUCCAUUCCCACUGCUUCACUUGACUAGCCUUUA
ensembl:misc_RNA Y_RNA Y RNA